rnacentral:lncRNA from 1 species
CUCACCCCUACAGUGCUGGGUUCAACUCACAAUGACCCACCCCAAGAAAGGAAAAGGCCAAGAACACACUCUGGGAUGGACCCCACAGUCCAGUGAUCUGAGGCUCACAGCCUGAGCUAGGACAGAAUGGGACUUGGUGGAGGAUGACUGCAUGCCCGGUGCUUAUCCAGGAUCACCUUGCCUCAGUGCACACAAGCACAAGUCCCAUUUCUUCUCCUCAUCCCACUCCAUUGCUUUUGGUAAAGCUGAAGAAGUGGAGCAGAAGGAGGCGAAUCUUGCUUUGGGGUUCACUCAAUGGUUCUUAUACACUGACAAAAACCCACUUGUGGCUGAAGUUUCCCACGCAAGAGUCUCAGGCCCCCGGCGUUCCCUAGGUAAAGUGCCUGUCGCUGCAUUCCCAGGAACCAGCACCACCAGGCACAGCUCUGCCAACUGCAUCACUUUUAGAUUCUGGCUUUGAAACCAAA